rnacentral:rRNA from 1 species
GACGAACGCUGGCGGCGUGCCUAAUACAUGCAAGUAGAACGCUGAAGGAGGAGCUUGCUCUUCUGGAUGAGUUGCGAACGGGUGAGUAACGCGUAGGUAACCUGCCUUGUAGCGGGGGAUAACUAUUGGAAACGAUAGCUAAUACCGCAUAACAGUAGAUGUUGCAUGACAUUUGCUUAAAAGGUGCAAUUGCCCCACUACCAGAUGGCCCUGCGUUGUAUUAGCUAGUUGGUGGGGUAACGGCUCACCAAGGCGACGAUACAUAGCCGACCUGAGAGGGGGGUCGGCCACACUGGGACCGAGGCACGGCCCAGAAUUCUAAGGGAGGCAGCAGGAGGGAAUCUUCGGCCAUGGACGGAAGUCUGACCGAGCAACGCCGCGUGAGUGAAGAAGGUUCUCGGAUCGGAAAGCUCUGUUGUAAGGGAAGAACGAGUGUGAGAGUGGAAAGUUCACACUGUGACGGUAUCUGAACAGAAAGCGACGGCUAACUACGUG